UUCAACUUAUGCGAUCGUUUCCAGUAAUCAUUUCGAUAUUUCCAAUUUAUUAUUAGAAUAUCCAUCAUUGAGAUGGACGUGAAAUUGAUACAAAUAGUUGUUUAUCAGAAAACAACAGAUAAAGUGUUCAGUGAAGACAGUGAACCAGUAAAGAGUGGUUGUGCGAAUUGAAAGAAACCGUAAAAAUGUUGCCUGUUUUAUUGAGAUUUGGUUUAUUUUGCUUCUGUUGGACGCCAUAUUGUAUACGGACACGUUUUUGCAUUUUAAUGUUUUACCCAUGCAUCAGGUAAUGUUCAUUAGCCGAGAGCCAGUGAUUAAUGUGAACCGAAUUGAAGUUUAAAGUAAACAAUGCGCUUGAACUUGUGGACAAAUGUUAAUCUAAUGAGUUUGGUUAUAAGGAUUAUUUUCGUCAAUUUGAAAGGGCAUUUUCUUUCAGCUCAAAAUGCUGAUAUCGAUCUGAGUGAUAGUGAAUUUGAUCAGUGUUCGGCAUUUGAAUGCGCCAAACCGUGGCCGGAAAUGUUCCGACUGAAUGAGGAUCUUGUUAACACAACCAAUAGCGGUUAUGUUAUCUCUAAUAAGGAUUUUAUACUUCAUCGAUGUCGAUCUUCUGGUGGCUGUUGUCCAAAUGUUGCAGAAUUUUGCGUAGCCAGCAAAACGAAUCCCGUUUGCAUUAAAUUCGAAUAUCAACGUUAUGAUUCCACUAGAAUCGAGAACAAAUUCAUUAUGAUGCCAAAUCACACUGAAUGUGGCUGUUCCAGGCCACAAACCAAGGAAACCGCAUCGUUAUACGAAAUGCUGGACCGUUGUGAUAGAACGAAGUGAAGCAUUUUUUACGAAUGCUUAUUGAAAGUGGAACGCCGAUAAUGCUGAAACAUUGUACAUUAUUCUGGAAAUCCCAGAAAUACUGAAUACAUCAUAUUCCACAACUCCCGGACUUUAAUACCAUGUAUUCGGCUGUAUUCUAGUCAUUAAGAGAUAAAUGUACAUGUACGUUUACUACAGUCUAGUCGAACAAUCCUGCAAAAUUAUGUCAAGUAUAAUAGUAUCUGUUUUUACUACUUUAAAUAAGCUCGUUGGUGUACUUAUGUAGAUAUUCUUAUUACUCUUUUGUAUAAUAGUUAUGUUCAAUGUUAAUUCUAUCAAUAGUUAAUUAAGGGAUUAAUCCAAAGGCGUUGAUCAUAAAAGUGAAGUCUGAUUGCAGAUUGUUCUUUUCAGGUCAUUUAAUGAAUGUUAGUUUAUUAUUACUUUGGUUAAGAUUUAAUUGUAAAAUGUACAGUUGCAAGGGACUUAAGUUUUGCGAACUCUUUCACGCAUUUCAAAUUAUUCCACAAUUGUUUGUUAUUGUAAGGACUGUAACUAUAAGUUGACUAAAAUUUUAAGUCGGAUUUACUUAGUAAUAAUUUAUAUUAUAUUAUAUAGGUACCAAUGUAUUUAUUCAUUAGCAUAAAGCAUAAUUAAGUGAACACUAACAAGUGAAACUGGGAGUUGUUUUAAAGAACAAUAGUUUUCUGGAUUUAUAACCACUAGUUGCGUCAGGAAUUUGCAUUUUGAAGCUUGUAUUUGUACACAUUUUUUAACAGUUUGUGU
rnacentral:misc_RNA from 1 species